rnacentral:rRNA from 1 species
CUACGGGCGGCUGCAGUGGGGAAUAUUGCACAAUGGGCGCAAGCCUGAUGCAGCCAUGCCGCGUGUAUGAAGAAGGCCUUCGGGUUGUAAAGUACUUUCAGCGGGGAGGAAGGGAGUAAAGUUAAUACCUUUGCUCAUUGACGUUACCCGCAGAAGAAGCACCGGCUAACUCCGUGCCAGCAGCCGCGGUAAUACGGAGGGUACAAGCGUUAAUCGGAAUUACUGGGCGUAAAGCGCACGCAGGCGGUUUGUUAAGUCAGAUGUGAAAUCCCCGGGCUCAACCUGGGAACUGCAUCUGAUACUGGCAAGCUCGAGUGUCGUAGAGGGGGGUAGAAUUCCGGGUGUAGCGGUGAAAUGCGUAGAGAUCUGGAGGAAUACCGGUGGCGAAGGCGGCCCCCUGGACGAAGACUGACGCUCAGGUGCGAAAGCGUGGGGAGCAAACAGGAUUAGAUACCCGAGUAGUC